GUGACAAAGCCUCCUGUUGACCUUCUGACACCGGGUCACAAGGAGGAUCGUCUUCUGGGCCUCAGUCGGCUGCGGGUAGCCAGACCUCACGUAAGGGAGGUGCUGCGUGAACAGCUCAACCCCGUGUGACACAGGAUUCUUUGCCUCAAUCCCUGAGAUUCAUGGUCUCGCUGCUUCGAAGAAUGAAGAGAUGCACACUGAAGGAGCAGUGGGCAGAGGUUAUUAGGGCGUAAGAUCAGAAGGUGGAUGCCCACGCUUGAAGACAGGAGGUGGCCUGGGAGUGUCGUCUAGCUGGGCACCGUCACAGGAGAGAGAAACGCCUAUACUCUUGCAACCGAGAAGGCGACAAGAAUCCCAGCACAGGACCCCAGGGUUCACGAGAAUUACUGAAUGAAGACAGGCCUGUGAUCAUCUUCCACUCUCGUUGCCUCCUCUGCGGUCUCUGCGGGU